AUUGAACGCUGGCGGCAUGCCUUACACAUGCAAGUCGAACGGUAACGGGCCUUCGGGUGCCGACGAGUGGCGAACGGGCGAGUAAUACAUCGGAACGUGCCCGAUCGUGGGGGAUAACGAGGCGAAAGCUUUGCUAAUACCGCAUACGAUCUACGGAUGAAAGCCGGGGAGCGCAAGGCCUUGCGCGGACGGAGCGGCCGAUGGCAGAUUAGGUAGUUGGUGGGGUAAAGGCUGACGAAGCCGACGAUCUGUAGCUGGUCUGAGAGGAUGAUCAGCCACACUGGGACUGAGACACGGCCCAGACUCCUACGGGAGGCGGCAGUGGGGAAUUUUGGACAAUGGGCGCAAGCCUGAUCCAGCCAUGCCGCGUGCAGGAUGAAGGCCUUCGGGUUGUAGACUGCUUUUGUACGGAACGAAAAGCCUUCUUUUAAUACAGGAGGGUCAUGACGGUACCGUAAGAAUAAGCACCGGCUAACUACGUG
rnacentral:rRNA from 1 species